rnacentral:rRNA from 1 species
AUUGAACGCUGGCGUCAUGCUUAACACAUGCAAGUCGAGCGAGCGGCGGACUGGUGAGUAAUGUAUGGGGACUGCCCGAUAGAGGGGGAUAACUACUGGAAACGGUGGCUAAUACCGCAUACUAUCGGAUAACCCAUAUGGGAUUAGCUAGUAGGUGGGGUCAAGUCUCACCUAGGCGACGAUCUCUAGCUGGUCUGAGAGGAUGAUCAGCAACACUGGGACUGAGACACGGGCCAGACUCCAAGGGAGGCAGCAGUGGGGAAUAUUGCACAAUGGGCGAAAGCCUGAUACAGCCAUGCCGCGUGUAUGAAGAAGGCCUUAGGGUUGUAAAGAACUUUCAGCGGGGAGGCGUUACCCACAGAAGAAGCACCGGCUAACUCCGUGCCAGCAGCCGCGGUAAUUC